rnacentral:tRNA from 1 species
AUCUUUCUAGUAUAAACGUCAGUACAAGUGACUUCCAAUCACUUAGUCUUGGUUAAACCAAGGAAAGAUA